GCUGGGUGCGGUGGUGCGUGCCGGUAGUCCCAGCCAGCUAUUCAGGAGGCUCAGGCUGGAGGAUCUCUUGAGCCCAGGAGUUCUGGGCUGUAGUGCGCUGUGCUGAUCAGGUGUCUGCACUGAGUUCAGCAUCAAUAUGGUGACCUCCCAGGAACGGGGGACCACCAGGUUGCCUAAGGAGGGUUGAACCAGCCCAGGUCAGAGACAGAGCAGGUCAAAACUCCUGUGCUGAUCAGUAGUGGGAUCACACCUGUGAAUAGCCACUGCACUCCAGCCUGGGCAACAUAGCAAGACCUUGUUU
ensembl:misc_RNA Metazoa_SRP Metazoan signal recognition particle RNA